rnacentral:rRNA from 1 species
UACGUAGGGCGCAAGCGUUGUCCGGAAUUAUUGGGCGUAAAGGAGCUCGUAGGCGGUUUGUCGCGUCUGCCGUGAAGUCCGGGCUCAACUCCGGAUCUGCGGUGGGUACGGGCAGACUAGAGUGAUGUAGGGGAGACUGGAAUUCCUGGUGUAGCGGUGAAAUGCGCAGAUAUCAGGAGGAACACCGAUGGCGAAGGCAGGACUCGUGGCAUAACUGACGCUGAGGAGCGAAAGCAUGGGGAGCGAACAGG